AUUGAACGCUGGCGGCAGGCCUAACACAUGCCAGUCGAGCGGAUGAAGGGAGCUUGCUCCUGGAUUCAGCGGCGGACGGGUGAGUAAUGCCUAGGAAUCUGCCUGGUAGUGGGGGAUAACGUCCGGAAACGGGCGCUAAUACCGCAUACGUCCUGAGGGAGAAAGUGGGGGAUCUUCGGACCUCACGCUAUCAGAUGAGCCUAGGUCGGAUUAGCUAGUUGGUGGGGUAAAGGCCUACCAAGGCGACGAUCCGUAACUGGUCUGAGAGGAUGAUCAGUCACACUGGAACUGAGACACGGUUCAGACUCCUACGGGAGGCAGCAGUGGGGAAUAUUGGACAAUGGGCGAAAGCCUGAUCCAGCCAUGCCGCGUGUGUGAAGAAGGUCUUCGGAUUGUAAAGCACUUUAAGUUGGGAGGAAGGGCAGUAAGUUAAUACCUUGCUGUUUUGACGUUACCAACAGAAUAAGCACCGGCUAACUUCGUG
rnacentral:rRNA from 1 species